AAUUUUGUGGUUUUCGACUAACUGAGUGGCUGAAGAUGAUGCUUUCUUGGUCAAGCAAAUUGGCCAGAAUUUCCGGUAUUCUAAAAUAGAGGUAUAUUCCUCUUCUUAUAUUCAUGAAUAGUCAGUUUUGUUCCUUGUUAACAUACAUGCAUCAUCUAUGUAUGGAAGACUAAACAUAGAUCGAAUCCAUUUUCUUAUCAAGGCAAGAAAGGAGGAACAAAUCCAAGCUGCUCAUGACGAAGCCAUGUUUGGUGCUUCAGCACUUUCACCUCUUACCAGUACUGACAGUGAGCCUGAAAGGGAGAAUGAGAAAGAAGUUGAUAAAAAAACUGUUGUUACAAGCCUCUUAAGUGAAACGGAGUGCUGAAAUGGUGACCACAUGCUAUUUUGAGGGUUCAAGAAUAUUUUGAUUCAUAGAGACACUAAUCUAUGUUAGAACUUUUAACUUUUGGUUGAACUUGUGCAAGACAUAUAACUUGUA